rnacentral:tRNA from 1 species
UAGAGGUUAGUUUAAACAAAACAACUACUUUCGAAUUAGUAACUUUAGGACACCCCCUAAACCCCUAC